AUUGAACGCUGGCGGCAUGCCUUACACAUGCAAGUCGAACGGUAACAGGUCUUCGGAUGCUGACGAGUGGCGAACGGGUGAGUAAUACAUCGGAACGUGCCCGAUCGUGGGGGAUAACGGAGCGAAAGCUUUGCUAAUACCGCAUACGAUCUACGGAUGAAAGCAGGGGACCGCAAGGCCUUGCGCGGACGGAGCGGCCGAUGGCAGAUUAGGUAGUUGGUGGGAUAAAAGCUUACCAAGCCGACGAUCUGUAGCUGGUCUGAGAGGACGACCAGCCACACUGGGACUGAGACACGGCCCAGACUCCUACGGGAGGCAGCAGUGGGGAAUUUUGGACAAUGGGCGCAAGCCUGAUCCAGCCAUGCCGCGUGCAGGAUGAAGGCCUUCGGGUUGUAACUGCUUUUGUACGGAACGAAAGACUCUUUCUAAUAAAGAGGGUCCAUGACGGUACCGUAAGAAUAAGCACCGGCUAACUACGUGCCAGCAGCCGCGGU
rnacentral:rRNA from 1 species